UACGGAGGGAGCUAGCGUUGUUCGGAUAUACUGGGCGUAAAGCGCACGUAGGCGGCGCCGUAAGUCAGGGGUGAAAUCCCGGAGCUCAACUCCGGAACUGCCCUUGAAACUGCAGUGCUAGAAUCUUGGAGAGGCGAGUGGAAUUCCGAGUGUAGAGGUGAAAUUCGUAGAUAUUCGGAAGAACACCAGUGGCGAAGGCGACUCGCUGGACAAGUAUUGACGCUGAGGUGCGAAAGCGUGGGGAGCAAACGGG
rnacentral:rRNA from 1 species